GGGGAAUUUUCCGCAAUGGGCGAAAGCCUGACGGAGCAAUACCGCGUGAGGGAGGAAGGUCUUUGGAUUGUAAACCUCUUUUAUUAGGGAAGAAGAAAGUGACGGUACCUAAUGAAUAAGCAUCGGCUAACUCCGUGCCAGCAGCCGCGGUAAUACGGAGGAUGCGAGCGUUAUCCGGAAUUAUUGGGCGUAAAGAGUCCGUAGGUGGUUUAGCAAGUCUGCCGUUAAAGAAUGGAGCUUAACUCCAUAGGGGCGGUGGAAACUGCGAGACUAGAGUACAGUAGGGGUAGCAGGAAUUCCCAGUGUAGCGGUGAAAUGCGUAGAUAUUGGGAAGAACAUCGGUGGCGAAAGCGUGCUACUGGGCUGAAACUGACACUGAGGGACGAAAGCUAGGGUAGCGAAAGGGAUUAGAUACCCCUGUAGUC
rnacentral:rRNA from 1 species